AAUAGAUACCCGGGUAGUCCACGCCGUAAACGAUGAGUGCUAAGUGUUAGAGGGUUUCCGCCCUUUAGUGCUGCAGCUAACGCAUUAAGCACUCCGCCUGGGGAGUACGGCCGCAAGGCUGAAACUCAAAGGAAUUGACGGGGGCCCGCACAAGCGGUGGAGCAUGUGGUUUAAUUCGAAGCAACGCGAAGAACCUUACCAGGUCUUGACAUCCUCUGCCAACCCUAGAGAUAGGGCGUUCCCCUUCGGGGGACGAGAGUGACAGGUGGUGCAUGGUUGUCGUCAGCUCGUGUCGUGAGAUGUUGGGUUAAGUCCCGCAACGAGCGCAACCCUUGAUCUUAGUUGCCAGCAUUCAGUUGGGCACUCUAAGGUGACUGCCGGUGACAAACCGGAGGAAGGUGGGGAUGACGUCAAAUCAUCAUGCCCCUUAUGACCUGGGCUACACACGUGCUACAAUGGAUGGUACAAAGAGCUGCGAACCCGCGAGGGUAAGCGAAUCUCAUAAAGCCAUUCUCAGCUCGGAUUGUAGG
rnacentral:rRNA from 1 species